AGAAUCAACGCUGGCGGCGUGCCUAACACAUGCAAGUCGAGCGCGAAAGGGGAGCAAUCCCCAAGUAGAGCGGCGAACGGGUGAGUAACGCGUGGGUAAUCUGCCUCCGAGUGGGGAACAACAUCGGGAAACUGGUGCUAAUACCGCAUAACAUCGCCGGGUCUUCGGACCUGACGAUCAAAGCCGGGGACCGCAAGGCCUGGCGCUUGGAGAGGAGCCCGCGUCCGAUUAGCUAGUUGGUGGGGUAAUGGCCCACCAAGGCUUCGAUCGGUAGCCGGCCUGAGAGGGCGGACGGCCACACUGGGACUGAGACACGGCCCAGACUCCUACGGGAGGCAGCAGUGGGGAAUUUUUCGCAAUGGGCGAAAGCCUGACGAAGCAACGCCGCGUGGAGGAUGAAGGCCUUCGGGUCGUAAACUCCUGUCGACCGGACGAAAGUAGGAUGGCCUAAUACGCCGAUCUAUUGACUGUACCGGUGGAGGAAGCCACGGACUAACUCUAGUGCCAGCAGCCGCGUAACG
rnacentral:rRNA from 1 species